GACAUACUUUACCCCAAGGCCACACCAGUUUUCGUCGGUUUAAUUUCUGCUUUUGCAGGGGGUGGCCGUCCCCCGGAUGAACGUUCCCCUGGGCAUGCCUCUCUCCUUUCCCCGGGGGGGCCUCCAGCUGCACCGGCUGUGGGGGGUGGGGUGGGGGGCGUUGGCCCCGGCUCCGAAUUUUGCAGCGAGGCCCGGAAAUCGGUCCCGUUAAGAGCCGAUUUCACCCAUCAGGAAUGCGCUCCGCCCCCGCCACCGCCUCCCCGCCGCUGCCGCCCUCCGCGUCGCCUGCUCCGGGGGGCCGGGGAAGUGCCUGAGGGGAGCGCCGCCUCCGCCCCCGUCACAACACCGCCGGGUCGGCCGCCGUCGCCCCAGACUGCCGGGGCCAGGAGGACAGGGCUCGCGGGGCGGAUCCCAAGCCUCGCCUCCCGCCCGCGCGGCCGCCAGCGCCGGGGCCGAGCCAGGGGGACGCGCGGAUCCAACGCGAGGCCUGAGCCCCCACUAGCCCGUCACCCUCCCCCGGCGCCGCCUGGGCUCCGCCGCGCAGAGUGCGAGAAGGGGCGCCUCUCCCGUGGGAUUUCCGAGUCCAUUUCCGUCCCGGGGAGCGGCCGGAGAGCCCCGCGUCGGAAACGGGAACCGCGCCCCUGCCCUCCGGCUCCCGGGUGCAGCCUUCCCCCAUUCACCCCACCCCAGACCCGCCCGUACCUUCAACUCCUCGAUAGGGCGCAGAGCUGCGGGCGAGCAGGCCCAUCUCCCGGCGGCGGCGGCCAGAGGAAACACGGAGGAGGGUUCCUCAGAGCCGCCCAGGCGCCUCUCAGCUGGGGCGGGGGGAACGCAGAGGAGGGGUCCCGACGGCCGCUUCCCCGAACUCCUCCUCCGCAGUUCUGUCUUGACGGCGGUUCCCGGGAAUCAGCGCCGCAACUGCCAUUCUCUCCCCCGGGCCCCGCUUCCCUCAGCCCCCGCUGUCUCCGCCCCCUCCUCCCACUCCUUCCUCCCGCCCCCUCCCCGCCCAGCCGCGCCUCGCCCCUCCCCGGAGCGCCGCCCGCGUGCCUUGCGUCAUGGCGUCACGCCCACCCCGGCCCGUCGCUGGACGCGCGGGGACGCGGGCGUUCGCUGUCCCACGUUCGCCCGGUUAAUCUCACGGGAGCGUCCCGCCUGCGGCUCGGGUGGCCGGGAGUGUGGCGCCCCCGCCACCUCCUGCUUGACCUCCGCCCGAGAGCGUCAGCGGCCCUUCCUGCCCCUCAGCCUGUAGGACUUCUCCCGGGCUGUGGGGCAGGUGUCUCAGGACGGGGGGGGGGUGGGAGGUGCCUAGAAGCCGCUCUCGAGGUGUAG
rnacentral:lncRNA from 1 species